rnacentral:lncRNA from 1 species
UAAGGACAGUCCAAUAAAUGGUCACUAUACAACACAUGUUGGAAAUUGAGGUGGCCCUAAUACCCACCACUCUGAGAACCUACACCUAGAACACCAACUUACUCUGGAGUCAGUCAGCCUUUUUAAUUUCUAGUUACUUAGUGCGAUGGGUCCUUUUGAUGGCAGAGCCGCCUUCUCACUUCUGGAUGGCAGAGCCUUGAAGCUGACUUUUGGGUGGCAGAGUCAACCUACGAUGAAGUUUAGACCCUUAUGAUCUCCGGUGACAAAGCUAACCUUCGAUGGAUCACAACUUAUGCACUAGGUACAUAGAAACUAUAUGGCCCAACCGGGAGACUAACACUUGUAAGAAACUGAACUUUAUUAUAACACAACAAUAUUACAUAAGAGUGU